GCAUCAACGUCACAAAGUAACACAGUACGAGAAGGACAGGGAUUCUCUGUAUGCGCAGGGAAAGCAGCGUUAUGACAGGAAGCAGAGUGGCUAUGGGGAGGGGACAAAACCGGCA